GCCGCUCUUAGACUCUUACUAUAAACCGGCCAACCAUGCUGGAAAUGAUACAAUGACAGUGCUUGUAUUUUUGCAUUACAUAUGCCGAACAAGUGAUUAAGCUCAAACCUCCAAAACUUAAAUGAAGAAUCAUAUAACUACGCUAAGGUAUUAUUCUACCAACCAAGGUUCUAGAGCUGCUGCCCAUGCACAUAAUUCACCUUCAUUAAACCAAAGACCUAUUUCACGCUUGCCAUUGUCGGGGCUAUCACUUCCAUGCACCACAUUUCUUCCAGUUUGAACAGCAAGGUCUCCUCUAAUUGUGCCUGGUUCAGCAUUAAGAGGAUUAGUUGCUCCUAUUAGCUUUCGUGCUGAAGCAACAACACCAACACCCUCCCAAGCCAUACAGACAACUGGACCAGAUGUAAUGUAGUCAAUCAGCUUGGGGAAGAAUGGCUUGGACUGUAGAUCCUUGUAAUGCUCCUCCGCUAAUUCUUUGGGGCACUGAAAAAGCUUUAAUCCAGUUAGCUUAAACCCUUUUCUCUCAAAUCUGGAUAUAAUUUCUCCAACAAGGCCUCUCUGAACACCAUCAGGCUUAAUCAUGAUAUAAGUCUGCUCCACUUCUUCCAUAGAAGCAACCAAAUGGGGUAAGAAUAUACGAGCUCUAAUUUGCCUUUUGGGGACAUUUGUUGAGAAAAGAUAAAAUGCUGGUUGCAAUGCAGCUAGGCUGUGCUUCUUGACGGAUUUUGGGGUAAGUCUGGAGGCCAAACAGGUUGUUUUGGAAGAGAUUCUACGAAGUGAAGAAGAAACACAAGGAGUUGCUCCAACUAUUGUAAGACCUUCCAUAUCUCCAAGAAGCUGAU
rnacentral:misc_RNA from 1 species